CCUACGGGCGGCAGCAGUGAGGAAUAUUGGUCAAUGGGCGUAAGCCUGAACCAGCCAAGCCGCGUGAGGGAUGAAGGUUCUCUGGAUCGUAAACCUCUUUUAUAAGGGAAUAAAAUCCGGGACGUGUCCCGUUUUGUAUGUACCUUAUGAAUAAGGAUCGGCUAACUCCGUGCCAGCAGCCGCGGUAAUACGGAGGAUGCGAGCGUUAUCCGGAUUUUUUGGGUUUAAGGGGUGCGUAGGCGGCCGUGUAAGUCAGCGGUGAAAGUCCGUGGGUCAACCCGGGCGGGGCCGUGGAAACGGGGAGGCGUGAGUGUGUGGGAGGGAGGCGGAAGGCGGGGUGGAGCGGUGAAAUGCGUAGAGAGGGGGCAGAACCCCGAUGGCGAAGGCAGCGUGCCGGGGCGUGACUGACGCUGAGGCACGAAAGCGUGGGGAUCAAACAGGAUUAGAUACCCGGGUAGUC
rnacentral:rRNA from 1 species